CGGCUUUGUGGAACGAUCUCAGGUCGCUUAAACCCAUGCCUAAAAUCGCUUGGAUUCUGAUUGGUGACUUUAACAAUUUUUGCUCUUUAGAUGAAAAGAUGGGUGGAUCUCAUGUGAUUACCCAGGCUGUUGAUGCUCAAAAUGGCUCGGCCAAUAUUGAGUCCAACUUAGUGAUUAGAUGUGCUGGGUCUUCAGUAGGGAAGAGGGCUGAGGCCCUUGGCGAAAUAUAGGUUGAUGGGAAACCUGCAGAAGACAAAGUGGGAGAAGCAAUCGUUAAGCUUCGGACACCGGUGUGGUGCCGGCCGAAGGCUCUCCGAUGCCUAAGUCAGUUACAAGUAGUAAUUCUGGCAGAGUAACAGUAAAAGUGGGAGAAUAGUUCUUGCUUUUACCUGGGUACUGUUCCCUAUUUAUAGGGAGGUGAAAGUAGGAGGUUUGCACAAAGUUCCGAUGUGGGACUUUGUGCAAGUCGUCGUGGUGGCGACACGUGUCCUGGAGAUUAGGUUUGGCAGCUGGGGGCUUCGGUAGGUGUCUGGCACCUCGGAAGUGUGUCUUCCUUCGGCACAGGAGAAGGCGUGGCUGCCUUGGUGCUAGUCACUUUGGUGCUGGGUAUGCUCGGUUCAUUAUGGUGUAAACAGUAGUCCCCCAAGUUCGCGGUCGAGAAGUAACUUCUAGGUUGGGAACUUGUGAGUUUUUGUAAUUGUAACCGAGCAUUCCAGCUUCGUUGGGAGUCGUAGGGCACUCCCUAGUCCCCCAAGUUGGCAAGCUAGGAGUUGCGUGAACAUAUGGUAGCUGGGUACCUGGGUACUUGGGCAUGUUGCAGAUAAGAUGUGAGCUGGGUCCGUAGGGGAGCCAGGCCUUCAAAGGAGCCGGGUUGAGUGAAAUUUUUGGACUCCCCACAAUUUGUCCAUGGCCCUUGCCGUUCGGCAAGGGUCUAGCCAAAUAUUUCCCUCAUUUUUUUUUUGGUGUGCUCGGGAGCUAGGCCAUCGAGGGAGCCGGGCCAUUUGAAAAUUUUCGACUCUCCAAAAUGUCUCCAUGGCCCUUGCCGUUCGGCAAGGGUCUAGCUUUUUUUUUUUUUUUUUUUUUGAAUGGCCGGGAGCUAGGCCUUUUUGGGAGCCGGGUCGUUUUUGAAAAUUUUGCUCUCCAAAAUUUCGACAUGGCCCUUGCCGUUCGGCAAGGGUCUAGCUAUUUUUUGGUUGCUCGGGAGCUAGGCCUUUUUGGAUUGGGUCUUCGGCAAGGGGCUGGGGUUGGGUUCAAAGUGGGCUUCGGCAUGUGAGAAAGGCUAGGGUUUUGAGAAGGUUGGACCCGAGAUGGGCCUUGGCCAAAAGAUAAAAGGAUAGGAGCUAGGGUUUAGUAUUGGGAGAAGGGUCUCUAGAGACCUUGAUAUAGCCUGCCGUUCGGCAGGGUGGAUAGAGAUUUUUUUUUUGUUUUUUGGGGCUGUUCACAUAAAUUCGGUAGGCAAGGAGAUUGUGACCGGAGAAGAGAGCCUGCGCCGUCGUCCGUAGCCGAGCAUAUUGCGGGCCAUUCGGGAAGCAAAUUUGUGGACUCAGGUCUGCACUGGCCUCGGCCAAGUCUGGUUCCGGAGGAGAUCGAGGGUAAGAGAAGAUCGAAGUGUGGGCUGGUCCUUCGGCAGGGCGGCGCAGCAACUGGUUCGGUGAGCCUUCGGUGUAGCAGUUGCUGUCGGAGUGGUGCUUCGGCAAGGCGACACAGCUGGAGUAGCUUGGUUGUGCUUGCCGAUCGGCAGGUCUUGGCCACGGCUGGCCUUGUUGUUGAUCGAAGCUUCGUCAAAGCAUCGGGGUUGUCCUUCGGCAGGUUCUGUCCGAGGAGGUGCUGGCUGCGCGGCAGCUGGGUUGUCGUGGUGUCUAGCAGAGGGAGAGCUGCCCAACGUUCUUGCCGUUCGGCAAGAGACGUGGCGACGGCUGGGGUGUCCUGCGGCAGGCGGUGUUGCUGGGCAGAUUCUGCAGGCCGUGGCUGGGGUUGUUUCGGCAGGCGCCGUAGCUGGAGCACGGGGCUAGGGCCUUCGGCAGGUGCUGCGCAGGGUCGUUGAGGUAUUUGUUGAAUCCUUCCGAUCGGCAAGGGUGGUGUGGAGAGUAUUUUGACCGAAAAGGUGAGUCCCCCAUUUGUUGUUUCCCGGGCCUUGCCGUUCGGCAAGCCCAUUUAUAUUAUGUGGUGGAAUUGGCUUGGGUGUCUUGAUCAAAUUUGGGCCGAGCCUUGUAGUAGGUUUGGGCUUAUGGAGUAGGCUAGCAAACUUGAAAUUUUGGGACUCCAUUUUGUGUUUGCACGGGCCUUGCCGUUCGGCAAGGCCCCUAUGUUUCCCUCAAUUUUUUUGUUUUUGGUUGUUUGUGUAUUUUGGAAAUUGAAUUUCAAAUUGUGUGUAGGUACAAGGGAUUUAGGAGGGAAUAUGAAAGGAUGCUAGGGUUUGCUCGUGAAUCGAGGCGUGGUACCCUUAGUUGGCUAUAAAAAGGAACUUGGGGUGGGGAAGGCACCACACUUGAGUUGAGUUGAGAAAAUUUGUGAGAAAUUGAAGAAGAGGAGAGGCGAUUUCCGGCGAUUAGUUUGUGGUGGUGCUUGUGGCUGAGGUGAUUUUCGGUGAACCAUUCGUGGUGCUACGAACAAGGUUAGACCUUAUUUCGCUAGAACCUUUGAAUUGAAAUGUCUUGUUUUGCAUGAACAUGUUGAAGGUUAGGAAGAACACAUUGAACAUGAGCAUGAAUAUGAUGAACAUGUUGAACAUAUGUAUGAACAUGUAGAAUUCUUGCCUGGCAUGAAGAUUUGGCAAAUUUUUGUUGUUGUGGUUCGAUCCUCUCUGCAUGUGCAUUUAGUUCCUUUUUCUUGUUUUUCCAUAUUUGUAGAUGUCUGAAAGUUCUGAUAGGGAAGUUUGCACAAAGUUCCGAUGUGGGACUUUGUGCAAGUCGUCGUGGUGGCGACACGUGUCCUGGAGAUUAGGUUUGGCAGCUGGGGGAUUCGGUAGGUGUCUGGCACCUCGGAAGUGUGUCUUCCUUCGGCACAGGAGAAGGCGUGGCUGCCUUGGUGCUAGUCACUUUGGUGCUGGGUAUGCUCGGUUCAUUAUGGUGUAAACACAGGCCAUGAUGAACUUUAAUAAACUUCUAAGUGACUGUGAAGUUGUUUCUACGAAUGCUUCUAGGGCUCCUAUGAUAACUCUGUUAUCUUUGAAAGACUUGACCGGGCUGUUGCAAACCCGGAUUGGUUGAGACUUUUUCCCAACUGUGAGUUCCAAAAUCUGCCUAUCUUAAGAUCAGACCAUGGUCCCAUUCUCCUCAAUUGUAACGAUACCCCUAGAAGAGUCCCCAAAGCCUUCAGGUUUGAGGCCAUGUGGUUAGCCCAUAGAGAUUUUGACAAAGUGGUUAACCAAAUUUGGAAUGCUUCCUAUAGUGGGAAUGCUGCCCAGAAAAUUCAAUCAUGUUGGAAGUUUGAAAGCAAAUGUCCCACAUUGGAGAAAACAAAAGGUUCCAUAUGCUUUAUAAGCAUGAAACCUUAAUAUUAAUUAAAUAAAGAUUGGUGGGCUGAUGGGCUUGGUAGUGAAGACUAUCAUGGUUGGCUUGCUUGAUUAAUAUUAAUAUUUAAAUAAUCAAGACUUGGGCCUUGGGCCUUGGGGGUCUCUGGAAAAUAAAAGAAAUAUACCUAGCCCGAAAAUAAAAUAAUUAUUUUUUAUUUUCGGAUUUCUUUGGCAGAAGUUAAAUUCAAACCAAAAAGACUUAUCUUUUUGUUUGAAUUUGAACAGGUAUAACUGAUACUAACUGCUAUUUUGAAGGGGUGUAAUUCUAUUAUAAAACCACAAGUCCUAGGCCAUAAGACAAAUCUCUUUUCCUUAAAACUAUCUCAUAUUAUUUUAAAGUUACCAACUGUAUUGGAGAGAAGCACACCAACGUUCGCCAGAAUUCAAGGAUCCGGUACUGGACCCUUGAAUUAUAGAUAGUUGAAUCCUGGGAGAUAGACGCCUGUUGAACUUCAAGCACUGAGAAGAGGCGAAAUUCGGUCUUUAGGACAUUGCAAAUACGCAAGCCUCUAUCUUCAAUAAAAGUCAGUAUUCUGUACUUAAUUUAAAUAUUUGCACAUUUAUACAGAUUUCGUAAUUUUGCUACUGUUUAUAUUUUCAAAAUUGUGCACUAAUAUAGUGAUCCUAUAGUUUAAAACAUUUACUGAUUAUCUUCGUAACAAAUCCUGCUGUAACACUUUUAAGCACAAACUAAAAUCCUGAAACAGAAAUGUCUUUGGGGACUUGUUCCAAAAGAUUAGAUUCAUCCAAGAGGAUUUACUUUUAACCCAGAAACAAUUAGCCCAAAACCCCUACAAUUCUUAUCUAUUUGAUAAAGAACUCAAGUUAAACACUGAUCUAAGGACUAUGCUUGAUCAAGAAGAAGUUUUUUAUGCCCAAAAAGCAAGAGCUAACUGGCUUCAACUUGGGGAUAAGAACACUAAAUACUUUCACACUCAAGCUUUAAUUAGAAGGAAACGUAAUCAGAUCACUAGAAUUAGGGAUCCUAAUGGGUUGUGGGUUGAGGGUGAUGUUCUCCAUCAUACCUUUAUUCAAGCUUUCAAGCUUAUAUUCACUGCUGAUCAGACUCCAAAUCCUCUUCUAAUGAGUAAUUUUCUUCAACUUGUUGAGCCUUGCAUCACUAGCCAAGAUAAUGUAAAUCUGUUGGCUCCUGUUUCAUAUUUUGAGCUAGAGUAUGUUGUGUGGAGUAUAGGGCCUCUUAAAGCCCCUGGCCCUGACGGCUUGCAAGCAGUGUCCUACCAAAAAUGUUGGAAGAAUACUAAGAAUAAGAUUAAGGACCUAGUUAAUGAUUUCCUUAUCAAUAAUGUUCCUCUACAGGAUGUCAAUCAUACCAAUAUCGCCCUUAUUCCUAAAGUUAAUUCCCCGAAGACUGUUAACCAGUAUAGGCCCAUUAGUUUAUGCAAUGUCUCGUACAAAAUUUUGAUAAAUCGUCUUAGACCUCUGCUUUCAAAAUGCAUAUCCAGAAACCAAGGAGCUUUUGCUCCAGGUAGAUCUAUUUUUGAUAAUAUUCUUGUUGCUCAUGAAUUAUUCCAUGACUUUAAAAGAAAGAAAGUUAACAGAGGAGCUAUGGCCAUUUAAGCUUGACCUUGAAAAAGCCUAUGACCUCCUUGACUGGAGUUUCAUUAGAGGCUGCUUGGCUCAAUUUGGUUUUAGUAAUGACUGGUGUGAUCGAAUCAUGAACUGUGUUUCUAGCACUUCCUUUUCCCUUCUUAUUAAUGGUUCUCCCUAUUGUCACUUUAGGGCUUCCAGGGGAAUUAGGCAGGGAGAUUCUUUGUCGCCUUAUAUUUUUAUCCUUUGCAUGGAGCCUUUUAUUAGGCAUUUAAAUUGUAUUGCAAGGAAUCCUAAAUCUAAUAUGGGUUUGCUCUCUUCCCCAGGAGGUGAUCGUAUCUCUAACAUGGUCUUUGCUGACGAUUGCCUUAUUUUUGCUAGGGCAACUACCAUGGCUGCCAAAAAUAUCAAUACAGUGUUAGGUAAUUUCUCUAAAGUUUCUGGUCAGAAAAUUAACUUGCAUAAGUCCACCAUUUAUUUUUCUGGAAAUGUUCAUUCAAAAGUCAGAGCCGUGCUAAGUAAUCUUUUGCAGAUUCAACAUAAGACCACCUUAGGUCGUUACCUUGGCAUCAACAACAUUAUCUUUUGGAAAGAUCCUGCUAAUGCCAAUCUUUUGAUCGAAAGAAUUUGGUCUAAGUUUGUCGGUUGGAAGGCCAACACUUUAUCUAAAGCUAGCCAUCUCACUCUAAUUAAGGCUAGUGUCUCUGGAAUUCCUAACCAUACUCUUUCCUGUUUUAAAUGUCCCAAAGAAGUUUGUAAGGAAAUGAAUGCUUGUUGUAGACCUUUUUUCUGGGCCAGUGACAAGAAGGUCCCCCCAAUUUCUUGGAAAGAUAUUUGUUUGCCAAAAUAUCUAGGAGGUCUAGGGGUUAGAUCUGCUACUCUUUUUAAUAAGGCGGGUUUAGCCAAAUUAGGUUGGAUCUGCUUGACUGAUACUACCAAUUGGUGGGCUCAAAUCGUGACGAAAAAAUUACUUAAAAAGAGAUUGCUUUCUUUUUGUCAGAAAAAGGACUUCUCAGUCGCUUUCCUGGAAGGCUAUCCUUGAUGUUCGGUCAGUUUUGCUUAAAGGUUGUAGAUGGAUUGUUGGUAAUGGUCAAUCCAUUCCCUUCUGGACUGCUAAUUGGGUAUUCCCUUUCCCUUUGCUUGAUUUAAUUCCUGAGUUUUUGAGAAAUAACUUGAAUUUGAAUCCUUCAAGUAAUUGAUGAAGAUGUUAUGGAUCAAAUCCUUUCUAUCCCUCUCCCUUUGUCUCCUCUGCAUGAUAAAUUAGUCUGGGGGUCUGACCCCAAUGGGAAGUUUUCUAUUAAAUCUGCUUAUAAUUUACAAUUGUAGGAUAAGCCCUCACACCCGAGAACUCCUUUGCUGAAGAAAAUGUGGAGCUUGACUUUGCCCCCUAAAGUCAAGCUACGCUUGGUUACUCAUACGAAAAAGACUGCAAGUUCGAAGUCAUUUACAAAUACAUACCUAAUAUUAAUCCUGAAUGCCCCUGUUGUAAGAAUCACUUGGAGACUAUUAACCAUUUAUUUUUUGAAUGUCAAUUUGCAGUUAAUAUUUGGAGGUGUACCUCUAUCAAUCCUACAACCUCAAAUCAGAAUUUUGAUGGUAUCAAGUGGCUAGAUUUGCUCCCUUACAUGAAGGAUAAAAAUGGCCUGAAUAUCCUCUCAAAAGCUCUCCUCCUCUGCUGGCAAAUUUGGGAGGCUCGGAACAACUGUGUCUUUAAGAACAUGGCCCCCCAUCUGGCUAGUGCUCUUACUGUUGCUGGUCAAGUUGGUCUAGACUUUUUUAAAAACAACUCCACUCCUCCCCUGAGGCCUAAAGGUGAUCUGUCUAUCAAGUGGAAGCCGCCUCCCCCCGAUUGGAUGAAAUUAAAUUUUGAUGGUUCGGUGCGUGAACAUAUGGCUGCCAGUGGUUUUGUUAUCCGAGAUUGGAAUGGCAAUGUUAGACUUGCGGGAGCUAAGAAGUUAGGACAGGUUUUGAUCAAUGUGGCGGAAUGUUUAGCCCUUCGUGAUGGCCUAGCCCAUGCUAUCAAUAAUGGUUGGAGUAAAAUUGUAACGACCCGGUCCUAAACUAAUAAUUAAAUAUGAAAUUAUUAAAGAAAAAGACAAUAUUACCCCAGAAUAUUUUAAUAGGUUUACAUGUUGACUUGUUGACCGGGGAGACUUUGGUGAAAUUGUUACAUCCUGGUCCGAAAAAGUGUUAAAACAAUUAAAAAGAGAAUAAAUUUAAAUGUGGAAAUAAAUUGAAGUAAACAUUAAAAUAAAAUGAUUUGAAUUAAUUAAGGUUUUUGAGAAAUUAAAACAUUAUUUAAUAUUAAAAGGGGCACAAAGGUCAUUUUAAGUUUGGGAAAGAAUUUAGAAAUUCUGAUUAUAUCAUUUUGUAGAGCACGUCGAAACGAGUCCGUAAACACGUAGUGGUCUCAAAUCGGAGUUGUAACGAAGAAAUGGCGAUCCAAAGAAGUUCAGUGGCAUAAUCGUAAAUAGUUCGAAGUUCAGUUUUUUUAAAAACCCAGAUUUCUUCUCUCUGGGCAGUUCGACCAGCUGACUUCCAAAGGUGAUAUCUCUCAACUCCGACCACCAAUUGAAGCAAGACCAGUCCCAUUAGAACCAUCACACUUACCUCUUCCAGACCCAACCUCUCGCUACCCCGAUCCGCCGCUGUAUUCGCCGGAAACAGCCAAUAAAAGGGCGGUGUUGAACAGUUUUUUGGUAAACUUUCACCGGCUCGUUCUCCCUCCUCCGGCCACCGUUUCAUGCGAGUGAGGUAUGCUUUCUCACCUAUUUUUCAUGAUCUAGCUGAUGGUUGAGUAGGAAUUUAUCAACUUUGAGCCUAGUUAGUUCGAUUUUCGAACCUCGAUUCCGGCCACUUCGGGUCACUUUUUGGGGUAGAUUUAAGAACUAAAGUGGUUCCAAAUAGGGUGUUUUACCUAGGAUAGGAAGCUGGGUUUCCAGCUUUGAAGAUUUCCGGUUGCCGGAAUUUGAUCAAGCUACCCACUAGCUGCCAGCGCUUGUGGCGGCGCGUGGGCAGCAUAGUGAAGUCAUUUUCAGAACCUAAAAUGAUUCUUGGUCCUCAUGAGCGCGUAGAAAUUCGCGGAUAUUAAUUUGGACAACGUUUGAAUCCCGAACGGAUCUCUCAUAUUGUGCGAUUUCCGGGUUCAAUGCAUUUGAACCGUUGGAUUGUAGUCAAUUUUAUAUAUGUUGAUCUAGACAAUCCCAGGAUUGGGUAGGAUUUGACUGAUCAUAAAUCGGAGCCCCGGAUACUCCGAAAAUGCCAAACCUAGGGCUAGGUUUAUAGUAACCAUACGAUUGUGCAAUUGUGAGUAAUCCGACCGUCCGAUCGAGGUCAAACUCUCCGGACAUAUGUCCUAGGCAGGUUAGAACCUCUAGGAACUCUCAAAUUGGAAUUUUGAGGUCGUGGACCCCACAAGGUCCCAGGUUGACUUUUUGGGACUUUAUCGCUUUUAAAUGCCGAGAUACUUUUAGACCGCUCUAAACCCUGGGAAGAGCUACUUUGAGGAUAGAAAUGACUUUAAAGUUGGUGCAUGUACUUCUAGAAACCCAGGGCUAGGGUUUCGGAUAAAAUAACGUGGAUGAGCUUUAUUGUUUGUGUGUUUUAGGAAGUUCAUGUACGUACGAGUGUUCAUUGGUUUAAUUAUGACAAUAAUUUCAUGGAUUAGAUUACCAUAUCACUUAUUAUGAAAUUAUAUGACUAUGGAAUAAGUAGAUAUGAUUGUAUACAUGUGGAUUACUAAAUUAUAUAAAAGUAUUUGAAGAUGUGAUAUAGUAUGUGAUGGUAAACCUAAAGGGUAUUUACGAUAAUUGGAGAUUAUGUAAUUUUGAGAAUUGAUUUCUGGAAAAUUGAGAAGAGAAUAUAAGCAGGGUUUGUGAAACAAGAGGACCUUUGAGAUAAGUUUCAGAAUAUGUUUUUUAAACCCACCUCAGGAGUACCCCCAGUUGCCUUGAGACAGUUUGUUAUUUAUGAUAAUGCCCCAUGAGUUUCGGGGACGCCUGAAUCAUGUGGUGCGAGGAUUGCCGCUCAGAUUGAAGUAUUAUCUCUGAGACCUGCGAGGAAUGCGGCUCGAAUGGACUUGGUGUCUCCGGGACUUGCGAGGAUUGCGGCUCAGAUUGAAGUGUUAUCUUUGAGACCUUCGAGGAAUGCGGCUCGGUUAACUUUAUGGUUCCGAGACCUGCGAGGAUGGAAUUGACUGACUAACAUUGGAAUUGACGGAUUAUUAAAGGAAUUGACGGAUCGGAAAUGGGGGUACUCCUAGGUAGAGAGAAUUGAAGUCCUGAGAUGUUUUUAAACUAAAUUGAGGAUUUUAUAUAGUUACCAUUAUUUUCUUAAGCGUCACAUUUGUUUUACAAGCGAUAGAUGGAAAUAUAUAUAUAUAUAGAUUCUAAGCAAGUUAUUGAUGUAUAAAAAUAUAUUUAUUUAUUUAUGAACGUGAGUUUGAUACAAGGGUGUUCGGAGCUUAUAAAUCUUUAACUUAUUUAAUUUUAUUUAAUUUUAUUAAGUUUAUUUAUCUUUAUCUUGCAUUAUUUUAUAUAGUAUUAAAUAGCUUAAGUUUUUCUAGCAUAUUUUACCCUACGAGUCCUAGAUAUAUUCGGACCGUGGGAGUGAGGAUUGCGAACUAGGUUGACCAGAUGUCUCCUAAGUUCAGCGAGAAUUACAGGUCGGGACGUGUCACCAAUGGUGUCAUGAGGAAUUGAUGGUUAUGGCUUUCCAAGCAUGGUUACUUGAUAUAAAUGCUUUUAUUUCUUCGUUUGAUUGUAUAUUGCCAUGUGAGAAAUGCCAGAAAGCUUGAAACAGAAAGCUGAGAUGAAAUUUGAGAACUAGAGUGGUUUUGCAAUGAAAGAACUACGUGUGGCUUGAUCCCUCAGUAAGGGUACAUAGGCAGCCUAUAGGUACAAGGUGCAGCGACGAGUUAGAAUGUUUGAAAUUACCAAUGCAUUAUUGUUGUUCUGAAAGUUGAGAUAAAUUUUAUUAGCAGAUUGAUUUAUUUGAUUUAUUGCAACCUCAUACUAGAAUAUUAUGAUGCUUAAUUUGUUUGGAUAUAAUUGAAUGCAUGCUGAACGAUUGAGUUAUAUAAAUGUUUGAUGAUAGGUGAAAAUUUUGGGGAAUGAGUAAAUUGCCGGGGAAACUUUGUCGAAUUUUUAGCAGAAGAUAAUCUUAUUUUUUUAAAAUGGAUUUUUAGUUAGAAGGGCAUUUUGGUCUUUGUGCCUGGCAUUAGCCAAGUGUUGGACACUCACAGGGUUCUGCUCAGAUUCCAAAGUGGAAUUUGGGUCGGGUCCUGUCAAAAAUUCUAAUUGAAGGUGACUCCAAGCUUAUCAUCGACUGCAUAAACGAAAAAACUUUGGUUCCAUGGAGUAUCCAUCUCUUGGUGCAAGAUAUCAGACUGCUUAGUUCCUUUUGUUAUGAGUUUUCCUUCCAGCACGUCUUUUGCGGAGCAAACUUCACUGAUGAUGCUUUAGCUAGUUUAGGCCAUAGCUUGAGCCCCUCCCACCUCUAGGAUCGGGGGCUCCCUUUAAGUUGCUCUAUUCCUUUUUAUUUUGAUUUAUUGGGGCAUGCGUGCCCUAGUGGGUUCCGGUUGUAAGGUUCCUUAUUUUCCUAUAAAAUUUAAAAAAUAAAAUAAUAAAUAAAAAAAAGAGAAGACCAAAGUUAUCUUUUUUCCCCCCAGAAUAUAUAUGGCCUUGUGGCCCUAGUUCUAAGUUUUAAAAUACAAAUGGCUUCAAUAUGCUUAUCAGUUACUGUUAUAGUUGAACAUGAAAACUCCAUUUGCCAAUAUAGGAUUCAAGAGAGAGACAAUUAUGGAUAAAUAAUACUCAUUCAUAUAUUGGUCGAAAAAUUAUAGAUUUCUUUCAAUCUCGGUCAUUGGUUGCAUUCUCUGUUAUGUCAAAGAUCUUAUAUUAUAUAUAAAAAAGGAUUUUGCAACUAUGACGUAUAAGAUUUUGCAUUCUCUGUCAUGUCAAAUUUGAUUUAUAUUGGGUUCUAUUUCUAUAGUUUUUAGUAUGAUUCUUAUUAUUUUUUCUUUAUCGGUUUUGUAUUUUUCUCAGGCCUUUCACUUGUGAAGUAUGGGGAAGAAGCCCUCGAUCAAAAAGUCAACUUUCCAGAAACGCUGGGAAGGCAAAGUUGUAACUACUUAGGUAAUGCCAAACAAGAUGGCAAAGGGAGAAGAACAACCGAUCUAUUGUAACCACUGAGCGGGAAGAAAGUUCUGCACCAUACCACAAAACCCUUGCAGAUCACCCUUUGUUUGGCGUGAAGCGAUAUAUACACAAGAACCACAACUCAUAUGAUCCCGUGCUACAUGUUAAUGUCGCUGGCCAUUUAUCUCACAAGGUACAUAUCCAAUUGCAUUUCAAAUUUGCACAAUUGCAUUUCACAUAUGCAAUUACCUGUAUAUUGUCUGGAAAUUGUUAAUUCAAUUGCAUUUAAAAUUUGCGCAAUUGGAUUUCAUAUAUGCAAUUACCUGGCUGUUGUAUGGCAAUUGGAUGAAAUAAAAAAUAUGCAACUUGCCACAAAGUUUGCCCUGCUCUAGAUAGAUGUAGUCUUAUGCUAUAUUAAUUUUUUCGAUGGCAAUGCAAUGUUCACCGUAGAAUUUUGUGUAUGCUGCUUUUCGAUAAAGAAUAUCAGAUCUGGAAGUAGUAUAACACUCGCCUUUUCUUUUCUUUUCUUUUUUAUUUAUUUAGUUUUUUUCUUUUAGGCUACUUGCUUAAGCAAACUCUGUGUAAAUUGUGUGUCUGAAAAUCGGAUACAACAUUGCUUCAAAAAAAUCUGAUAGAGCAGUACUUCAAGACACUUAUUUUAUGUCUUUACUAUCUUCUCAGCUCUUCUUCUUUUAAAUAAAUAUUUUAAAAAACAAAAUCUCAGCCCUUCUUCAUUACUCCUCUAGUUAGUUACUAACAUCCUCUCUUAGAUCAUAUGGCUGGUCACAUCCUUUCCUAAAACAAAUAGAAGCUGCUAAACAGUUUUUUAAUUUAGUGUCAGUUUUAAUCUUAUAUGCAUAUGUUACUUAAGUAUUUCUUACUUUCUUUUGGUUGGAAAUAUGUAGGAGACUUAAAAUCUUCUCAAAGUUUGCAAUUCAUUGAUCAAUGUACCAAAAGAUAGUGAUGGAUAUUUGACAAAUAUGAGAUGCAAGUCAAUUGAGCACAUUAAGGGAUGCAGCGGAAACUACAAACAUGUUCUUCUUUGUGUCGGUUGUGACACUUGGAGUACUAGUAUACUCCCAUUUUUAUUGUUAACAAAAAAAUAUAAUAUAAUAUAAAUCGAGAUAAGCACGUAAAUUGCAUUUACAGUUUGCAAUUGUACUAUAGAGUUGUAUUUUGAGAUUAGUGUAUACUUAUUGUCAUGUUACUGACACCCUUUUCAAUUUUGAGAAUGUAAAUAAAAUAUGUGAUUUGUCAAUGCAAUUGACAAACAGGUAGUAUCGUUUGCAUUCUAGUCGUACAAUUGACAAACAAAGCUGUUCCAUUUACAUUCCAGUUGCGCAAUUGCCAUUAUUUAUGUACCCACUAAAUUAAUGCUCCAACUAUUUAUAUAAAUUUUGUUAUGUACUCAUGAUUAAACAUGGAUGCAAUUAUAUUUUCCUCGCUUUUUUGGUUGAAAUUAUAUUUUCCUUGUGAAUGUUGUCAUAUCAUACUACUUUUUUGAACAGCGAGGCAACGUUUGGAAUCCCAAUAUGCAAUUGCCAAUUUGCGGAACAACUUUUGCACUUUUGCAUUGUUAGUAUACGAAUACCAAAAUUCAUAAUCAAUAAAUAAUAUCAAAUCAUUCAAACUUAAUUGUAUUUUAGACAUGUUGUGCAAUUAAUGUGUUAAUCAAUAACAUACACACAUUGACAUAAAUAAAGUUACGAAGCAUUAUAUUUUCACAUUUUAAGUAUUAUGCCACUGUGAAUUCAUAAGUAUGCCAUUGUGAGUCACAUCAAAUUACAUAUUUUGCUUUCACUUAGCCACAUCAAGUUUGUAAUCGACGAACACGAACAGGCACCACAUAAUUGUCAUUCCAACUUGUGAAAACUGACUACUUGAUUAGAAAUUGCCAAAUGACCUAUGUCAAAGGUAAAUUAGGCUAUUGAAACAUUAUGUAUUAGGAUAAAUCUCAACGUUGUAAAUUGUAAUGAAGAUGUGAAAUCUCGUAAAUGAGAAUCAAAAUCUUGUAAUCUACAAGAUUAUGGAUACAAUUUACAAGUUUAUGGAAUCUUCAUUUCCAAAAUAGUGUAACAUAAGUCCUUAAUGUUGUAAACCCUUGUAAAUUAGGCCAUUACAAUAUUAUGGAUUAAAGUGAACCUUAAUGUUGUAAUCACCAUGCGAGAUCUCAUAACUGGAACCCAAAUCUAGUAACGUACAAGAUUAGGGAUAUACUUUACAUAUUAUGGAACUCUCAAGUCCCAACUAUUAUAAAAUGAGUCUUUAAUGUUGUAAAUUAUUGUUUUUACAACAAUAAGGAACACUCUUUUAUGACAUUAUGGUACCCUCGGUCCUUAAACUUUUAACAAAAUUAUUUACUAGAAUAAUGACCCAUUUUACGACGUUAAGGUACCCUCGGUCCUUAAUCUUGUAAAUCAUUGUUUACUAGAAUAAAGACCCAUUUUAUAUCCCAAAGGUCCACCAUUACCAAUUCUUUAUAAUGUGGAUCCAUAUUCUUGUAAAAGACUUAUUUACAACAUUAUGGAUUUGGUGAACCCUAACAUUGUAAUCUAUGAGCAAAACCUGGUAAAUUGUUACCAAAAACUUGUAAGUUACGAGUUUAGGGAUUCUCUUUACGAUGUUAUGGUACUCUCGGUCCUUAAACUUUUAACAAAAUUAUUUACUAGAAUAAAGACCCAUUUUACAUCGCUAAGGUCCACCAUUACCAAUUCCUUAUAAUGUAGAUCCAUAUCCUUGUAAAAUGGUGAUUUACAACAUUGUGGAUUUGGUAAAUCCUAACAUUGUAAUCUAGGAGCAAAACCUUGCAAAUUGUUACCAAAAACUUGUAAGUUAUGAGUUCAGGGAUUCUCUUUACGAUGUUAUGGUACCCUCAGUCCUUAAUCUUGUAAAACAUUUUUUACCAGAAUAAUGACCCAUUUUACAUCGCUAAGGUCCAUCAUUACCAAUUCCUUGUAAUGUGGAUCCAUAUCCUUGUAAAAGGCUGAUUUACAACAUUAUGAAUUUGGUGAACCCUAACGUUGUAAUCCAGGAGCAAAACUGACAGGACUUGACCCAAAUUCCCCUUUUAAAUCCAAGCCGAACCCUGUUCGUGAUCGACACCUGGCAGGUGCCGAGCACAAAUGACCUGGUUGCCCUUCUGGUUACAAACUUACUUUCAUUUUUACCUUGACUUCUACUGAAAAUUCGGCAGAGUCUCCCCUGUAAUUUGUUCAAUCCCAAAAUUACACCUGUCAAAACAAGCAUAUAUACAUAACCCAACUUCUAGCAUGCGUAUAUAUAUACAAUCAACAGUAAAGUUCGAGCCCAGGGGCAAUAUCAGAGCAUCUAUACAGAUUAAUUUACAAGAAGAACAUUUGGAGGGUCAAGGGCCCUACACUAAGCUGAAGAGAUGCAGGAAGCGGAAACUGCCCUGUGGUGGCUUUCAAAUGCACGUCUACGGCCUGGGGGCUCAAAACAUUUAAAAGGUGAGUGGACCCAAAAACAAAGUUUUAAGAAAAAUAGCAUAAGAACAUACUAACCCCACCGUGAAAACAAUUAUACAAAACUAAUUCAUUCUUUUAAUCAUAUACAUACUGAAAUCAAUGCACUCAUAUAUAUAUAAAUAUAUGUCAAGCAAACUCAUAUCAUCUUUAAACUCUUAAAAGCACUGAAAUCAGUUUAAAACUACCACCUAGGUGUACCCCUUAAAUUCUGUCAAUUCCUGAUAAGGUCAAUUCCUGAUAAUCCGUCAAUUCCCCUGGUAGGUCUCGGUGACACAAAAUCAACCUGAGCCGCAAACUGGCAGGAUUCAGGGGACCGUAGUCAGCCUGAUCCUCAUUCCUGGACCUCACGGUCCGGGCGUCCCCGAAACUCGUGAAGCAAAUGUCAAGCGCGCUGACAAAACUGAAGGCAACUUGGAUGUCCGUGGACAUCGUCAUAUCCGAAGGCAACAUAUACCGAAGGCAACCUGUUUCUAUAACUGGGUACCUAAGGUGGCUUAAGAAAAUCUAAAAAUCUUUGAAAAAUAUGAUAAAUAACUGAAUUUUUGUUAAAUCUAGAACUUUGCUGCCAUUUAUCUGUUAUUUAGCUAAAAUUUCCUUUUCCUAUAUCCAUAACGGAUAUCUCACUCGGUAGCAUGUGAAUUCAAAACAUUUAAAAGCAUAUAUCAACUAAUAAAACACUAAUCUUUGAAUAAAACGUAUUCAAGAUCAAAUAUUGUAACUAAAUAGCAUAAAUUCAUUUAUGAAAACAAAGAGUCCACUCACAGCUGGUCCGAGCUCGCUGGACCUUUUGGAGGUCCCUCCUGCUGGUCAACUGGUGCCCGGGUGCCUCACUCGUCCAAUUUGGUGGCUGGAUGAAGGAGAACGAAAGCUUGGAAGUUAUGUCAACUCCGGCGUGAUCUCGAGCAUUUUCCGGCAAAAAACAGCGGUUCCAAGGGCAGGGACCGGUUGGGAAAGGAAGAGGAAGCAGUGGUGGUUCGAUUGGGUUCGGUCCCGUCGGUCGGAGUGGAGUGUGGCGAUGGUUAUGGAGGUUUGAAGGUAACGGUUUAAAAUAGGGGGGGCCUGCUGGUCGAGAGAGAAGAGUGAGGGAGGAGAGAGAGACAGUCAGUUUUUAAAAAAAAUCCUGAUUUCAAAAUUACCAUUUUCUCCUUCUACGUAUUUUGACCGUAUUUUCUUCGUUACAACUCCGAUUCGAGUCCACUCCGUGUCUACGGACUCAUUUCAUUGUACUCUACGCAACGAUGCAAGUGAAAUAGUCAAAUUCUUUCUCGGUCAAAAAGUCAAGUUUUCCUUUACUAGAAUAUUCUAAGGGCAAAAGUGUCCUUUCUUCUUAAUAGUUUAAUAGUUAACUAUUAAUUAAGGUUUGGGUCAUUACAAUCUACCCCCUUAUAAAACAUUUCGUCCUCGAAAUUUACGUACCUGUCACUCGAAGAGGUAAGGGUACUGUUCCCGCAUUUGGUCCUCGGGUUCCCAUGUAGCCUCUUUCACAUUAUGACUUCUCCACAAGACCUUCACGAGUGGGAUCUCCCUCGAACGCAAUACUUGCAUCUUCCAAUCCAAAAUAUGGACUGGUUGCUCUAUAUAAGUCAAAUCUUCUUGUAAUUCUAUUGGUUGUUCUUCCAAAACAUGAGAAGGAUCAGAAAUGUACUUCCGAAGCAUCGAGACAUGGAAUACAUCGUGCAACAGGGAAAGAUCUGAAGGUAAAGCAAGCCUGUAAGCUACUGGGCCCAUACGCCCCACGAUCUCAUAUGGCCCAAUAUAGUGAGGACUUAGUUUUCAUCGCCUCCCAAAUCUCAUUACGCCCUUCCAAGGCGAUAACUUCAGAAAUGCCCAAUCACCAACCUCAAACUGGAGGUCUUUCCUUCUAUUGUCUGCAUAGCUCUUUUGUCGGUCCUGGGCUACCUUGAGUCGUUCUCUAAUUAUUUUCACAUGUUCCUUCAUCCGUUCAACAUCAUCUGACACUUCCAAUCUGUGCUCACCUACUUCAUCCCAAUAAAAUGGAGUUCUACACUGUUUCCCAUAUAAGGCAUCAAAUGGAGACAUCUUGAUACUCACCUGGUAGCUGUUAUUAUAGGCAAACUGCAUAAGUGGCAACUUCUCAUCCUAGUCACCUCGAAACUGCAGUGCACAAGGUCUCAGCAUAUCUUAUAAAGUCUGAAUUGUCCUUUCAGACUGACCAUCUGUUUGGGGGUAAAAUGCAGUACUAAACCGCAACUGGGUUCCGAAAGCUUCAUUUAACUUCACCCAAAAACGGGAGGUAAACCGUGGAUCUCUAUUUGAAAUAAUAGAUACUGGCACCCCAUGAAGUCUAAGUAUCUCAUCUAUGAAGAUCUUGGCCAACUUAUUUAGCAUGUAGUUUGCUCUCACCGGUAAGAAGUGGGCAGAUUUGGUGAGUCGAUCCACGAUUACCCAAACUCCAUCAUGCUUAUUCUGUGUUCGGGGAAGCUUAAAUAUGAAAUCCAUAGUAAGAUGUUCCCACGUCCAUUCGAGAAUCGGAAGUGGUUGUAACAACCCUAAUGGUUUCUGCCGUUUAGCUUUCACUUGCUGAUAAAUUAAGCACAUCCUGACAUAUUCUGCUAUUUCUUUCUUCAUAAAAGGCCACCAGUAGUGCUCUCUCAAAGUAUGGUACAUUUUUGUACUUCCAGGGUGCAUUGCAAAAGCUGAACCAUGGGCCUCCUCAAGAAUUUCCCUCUUUAAAGCUUCAUCAUUAGGGACAUAUAACCUGGUACCCACCAUUAAAGCUCCAUCAUUUCUUACUGAACAGUCAGUUCUGUCACCAUUCUCCACCUCUGCUUGUAGUGUGCAAAUCAAAGGAUCCUGUGAUUGAGCGACGAGUAUUCGUUCCACUAGCACUGGUCUCACAUGGAGAGUAGCUAAUAGUGCUCCCUGAUUAUCCACACCUAGCUCAACUCUGAGCUUCCUCAUUUCUACCAUCAAUGGCACGUACCUCUCUCGGAGAUAAGCUACAGAUCCCGAGGAUUUCCUGCUGAGUGCAUCAGGUACAACAUUAGCUCUUCCUGGGUGAUGCUCAAUGGUACAAUCGUAGUCCUUAAUCAACUCUAGCCAUCUUCUUUGCCUCAAAUUCAAUUCCUUAUGGGUGAAUAAAUACUUUAAACUCUUGUGAUCCGUAAAAAUCUGACAUGUUUCCCCAUAGAGAUAGUGCCGCCAAAUCUUUAAGGCAAAAACCACUGCAGCUAAUUCCAAAUCAUGAACAUGAUAAUUCUACUCAUGCUUCUUUAGUUGUCUAGAAGCAUAAGCAAUUACCCGACCAUGCUGCAUUAGCACACAACCAAGUCCCUGUUGGGAUGCAUCACUGUAGAUCACGAAAUUUUCACUAUCAUCUGGAAGUGCUAAAACCAGAGCGGUGGUUAACAUGGUCUUGAGUUCAUUAAAGCUUUUCUCAUGCUCAUCUGACCAUUCAAACUUAACUCCUUUUCUUGACAAACUAGUGAGAGGCGCCGCUAUAGCAGAAAAACCUUCCACAAAGCGACGGUAAUACCCGGCUAACCCAAGGAAACUCCGUACCUCAGUAAGACUGGUUGGUCGUGGCCAGUUCACUACUACCUCAAUCUUCUGGGGAUCAACAUAAAUAUCCUCUGCAGAGAUCACAUGCCCCAAGAAACUAACUUUGUCCAACCAGAACUGACACUUGCUGAAUUUGGCAUACAAUUGCCUCCUCCUCAGAGUCUUCAGCACAAUUUCCAAAUGCUUCAUGUGUUCCUUCUGACUCUUAGAAUGCACCAGAAUGUUGUCUAUGAAUACAAUCACAAAGCGAUCCAAGUAACGUCGGAACACCCUGUUCAUGAGAUCCAUAAACGCAGCUGACGCAUUGGUCAACCCAAAUGGCAUCACCAGGAACUCAUAGUGCCCAUACCUCGUUCAGAAAGCUGUCUUAGGCACAUCCUCUUCUUUAAUCCGUAAUUGAUUAUACCCAGAUCUCAAAUCAAUCUUGGAAAAUACCUUGGCACCCUUCAGCUGGUCAAAUAAAUCAUCAAUGCGAGGCAAAGGAUACUUGUUCCGCACCGUGACUUUGUUCAGUUGCCUGUAGUCAAUGCAUAACCUCAUGGUGCCAUUCUUCUUCUUAACAAACAGCACUGGAGCACCCUAAGGGGAAAAACUAGGUCGGAUGAAGCCCUUAUCUACUAGCUCCUGCAACUGAAUCUUUAAUUCCUUCAACUCUGCUGGUGCCAUUCUGUAUGGUGCUUGAGAUAUAGGAUUCGUUCCUGGAACGAGCUCAAUGGUGAACUCGAUCUCCCGGUGAGGAGGUAACCCAGGAAUAUCCUCGGGGAAUACAUCCGGAAAUCCCUGUACCACUGGAAUAUGUUCCAAUCUCUGCCCAUGAUCUCUGGUAUUGAUCACAUGUGCUAAAUAUCCUGAGCACCAUUUUCUGAGUAACCGUUUUGCUGUCAUAGCUGAAAUGAGGCAAGAUGGAAGCACUCUGCGCUCGCCAAAAAAUGUCAUUUCAGGUCGUCCGGGACUACGGAAUACAACCUCUUUCCUAAAACAAUCCAUUGAGGCAUGAUGCUUGGCCAACCAAUCCAUGCCUAAAAUGACAUCCAAGUCAACCAGUCCCAAAGGGACCAAAUCUGCUUCCAAAAAUACAUCUCCCACUAGCACUGUACUAUCUCGAUACACCGUACCUACUUGAAAAAUCUCUCCUGUAGGUACAGAGAUCUCUAGUUGGUUCUGUAGGGCUGAAAGUCUUACAUUAGCAUUGUGGGCAAAACUAGGUGUGACAAAUGAGUGCGUAGCCCCAGGGUCAAUCAAAACUCUAGCAAGGAUUCCAAAAACUGGUAAAAUACAUGUGAUCACGUCAGGUGACGCCUGUGCUUCUUGCUGGGACAUAUUGUACACUCUGCCUGUGGCUCUGGAACGUCCACCCUGUCCCUUAUGCUGACUACCACCUCGGUUGGCAAUACUGGUCUGGGCUCCACCACUGGACGAGGCCCCUACAAACUGUGAUGUCCCCUGUGAUCUGCCCUGAGUGCCUAUCCCCUGAGGCAAUGUGACUGUAGCCUCUCCACCCUGAAGCAAUAUCGGGCACUCCCUUAGAAAAUGUCCAGAUUGACCACAAUGGAAACAUCCAGUAGUGCCCUGUCAGCAAGUCCCAGUAUGAUACCUACCACACUCAGCACACUGAGGAUUCCUCCUCCUACCAGAUGCUGACUGUAGCUGUCUCCCAGAACCUCUAGCUGUACUACCCCUGGAGUGGUUCCCAGAACUGCCACUCUGGUUGGAACCUCCACUAGAACUGACUCUAGGUCAAAAACCUCCAUAACUGCGGCCACUAGGUGACCCAGAGCUGUAACUGCGUCUCUUGGAUGACCCCUGACUGGGACCACCCAUAUCAAACUACCUCCUUCGAGGUUCACCCCGUGCUCUGACCAUCAUCUGGCUGCUCUCAAUCAAUGAAGCAGACAUCACCAAAUCCCCAAAAUUAGUCAACCGCUAGCUAAUCACAAUAUCUCUAAUGGAGGCCUUCAACCCUCUAGUAAACAACUGACAUUUCUUAUUCUCAUCCUCGACUAGUGGAACACAGUACUUAGACAGUUCAUUGAACUUUUUCUCAUACUCAAGUACGGUCAUUGUACCUUGUUCCAACUGCAAAAAUUCCUCCAUUUUCAUAUUCUGGUAGGCCUAUGGGUAGUACUGACUGUCAAAUGCAGCUCGAAAUAAUUGCCAAGUGAUGGCUGACGGAUCUCAAUAUCUCCUUUUAACAGACUCCCACCAAUGUCUAGCAUUCCUGAUCAAAAAGAAAGUGGCCAGAGUUACCCUACGGUUCUGUGCAACGGCCAUCACCUUCAUGAUCAGCUCCAUCCUCUCUAUCCACUCUUCAGCCACUGCUGGGUCGCCAUCACCAUCAAAAUCUAUGGCCCCAAUCCUCUUAGCUUGGUCAGCAUAUCCUAGGGAGGGAUCUCUGGACUGCCCAGUCCUGGAUAGAGCCUGGGUCAACAACUCCAAAGUCUGCUAGAAAAUAGGACCUCCCGGCAUAGUGGGCAUGGGAGGUGCGGCCCCUGAUGGGCCUCCAACAAAAGACUGCUCUACCGAUUCUGGUACCGGUGCAGAAAUGGGAAAUUCCUCUUGCUCGAGAGGGGGAUUAUGUCCCCUGACUCGGGACGACUGUCUGGUCCCUCUACGGAAGCCACCACGUUUCGGGCCCAUGCUUACUGUCAUAAGAAAUAAUUGUUCAGUAAAACUGGAAAGCACAAAGUGCGGAGUCUACAGGAAGUUAAACCUAAUGCUCUGAUACCAAGUUGACAGGACCCAACCCAAAUUCCCCUUUGGAAUCCGAGCCGAACCUUGUUCGUGAUCGACACCUGCGGGUGCAAGCACAAAUGACCUGGUUGCCCUUCUGGUUACAAACUUACUUUCAUUUUUGCCUUGACUUCUACCAAAAAUUCGGCAGAGUCUCCCCUAUAAUUUGUUCAAUCCAAAAAUUACACCUGUCAAAACAAGCAUAUAUACACAACCCAACUUCCAGCAUGCAUAUAUAUCUACAAUCAACAAUAAAGUUCGAGCCCAGGGGCAAUAUCAGAGCAUCUAUACAGAUUAAUUUACAAGAAGAAUAUUUGGAGGGUCAAGGACCCUACACUAAGCUGAAGAGAUGCAAGAAGCGGAAACUACCCUGUGGUGGCUUUCAAAUACAUGUCUACGGCCUGGGGGCUCAAAACAUUUAAAAGGUGAGUGGACCCAAAAACAAAGUUUUAAGAAAAAUAGCAUAAGAACAUACUAACCCCACUGUAAAAACAGUUAUACAAAACUAAUUCAUUCUUUUAAUCAUAUACAUACUGAAAUCAAUGCACUCAUAUAUAUACAAAUAUAUGCCAAGCAAACUCAUAUCAUCUUUAAACUCUUAAAAGCACUGAAAUCAGUUUAAAACUACCACCUAGGUGUACCCCUUAAAUUCUAUCAAUUCCUGAUAACCCGUCAAUUCCUGAUAAUCUGUCAAUUCCCCUGGCAGGUCUCGGUGACACAAAGUCAACCCAAGCUGCAAACUGGCAUGAUUCAGGGGACCGUAGUCAGCCUGAUCCUCAUUCCUGGCUCUCACGGUCCCGGCGUCCCCUAAACUCGUGAGGAAAAUGUCAAGCACGUUGACAAAACUGAAGGCAACUUGGAUGUCCGUGGACAUCGUCAUAUCCGAAGGCAACAUAUACGGAAGGCAACCUGUUUCUAUAACUGGGUACCUAAGGUGGCUUAAGAAAAUCUAAAAAUCUUUGAAAAAUUUGAUAAAUAACUGAAUUUCUGUUAAAUCUAGAACUUGCUGCCAUUUAUAUGUUAUUUAGCUAAAAUUUCCUUUUCCUAUAUCCAUAACGGAUAUCUCACUCGGUAGCAUGUGAAUUCAAAACAUUUAAAAGCAUAUAUCAACUAAUAAAACACUAAUCUUUAAAUAAAACUUAUUCAAGAUCAAAUAUUAUAACUGAAUAGCAUAAAUUCAUUUAUGAAAACAAAGGGUCCACUGACAGCUGGUCCGAGCUUGCUGGACCUUUUGGAGGUCCCUCCUGCGGGUCAACUGGUGCCCGGGUGCCUCACUUGUCCGAUUUGGUAGCCGGAUGAAGGAGAACGAAAGCUUGGAAGUUCUGUCAACUCCGGCGUGAUCUCGAGCAUUUUCCGACGAAAAACAGGUGUUCCAAGGGCAGGGACCGGUCGGGAAAGGAAGAGGAAGCAGCGGUGGUUUGAUUGGGUCUGGUCCCGUCAAUUGGAGUGGAGUGUGGCGGUGGUUAUGGAGGUUUGAAGGUAACGAUUUAAAACAAGGGGGGCGGCUGGUCGAGAGACAAGAGUGAGGGAGGAGAGAGAGAGUCAGUUUUUAAAAAAAAAUCUUGAUUUCAAAAUUACCAUUUUGCCCUUCUACGUAUUUUGACCGUAUUUUCUUCGUUACAACUCCGAUUCGAGUCCACUCCGUGUCUACGAACUCGUUUCGUCGCGCUCUAUGCAACGAUGCAAGUGGAAUAGUCAAAUUCUUUCUCGGUCAAAAAGUCAACUUUUCCUUUACUAGAAUUUUCUAAGGGCAAAAGUGUCCUUUCCUCUUAAUAGUUUAAUAGUUAACUAUUAAUUAAGGUUUGGGUUAUUACAAAAAUCUUGUAAAUUGUUACCAAAAAAUUGUAAGUUACGAGUUGAGGGAUUCUUUUUACAACGUUAUGCUACCCUCAUAUCCCAAAAUUGUAAAAUCGGCCCUUAAUCUUGUAAACCCUCAUUUUACUAGAAUAAGGACCCCAAUUUACAUCCUCAUGGUCCGCACUUACCAAUUCCUUGUGAUGUCGAUCUAUAUCCUUAUGAAAUAAGAAUUUACAACGUUAAGGAUUAUUAUGAGAACCCUAACGUUGUAAUCGUGGUGCAAAAAUCUGUAAAUCACUACCUAGUCGUGUAACUUAUAUGUUUUUAGAUCUUCCUUACAAGGUUAUGGUACCCUCGUAUCCCAAAAUUGUAAAAUUGCUCCUUAAUCUUGUAAACCCUCAUUUUACUAGAAUAAAGACCCAAUUUAUAUCUUCAUGGUCUGGAGUUACCAAUUCCUUGUAAUGUGGAUCCAUAUCCUUGUGAAUGGGGAUUUACAACAUUAUGGAUUAGGUGAACCCUAAUGUUGUAAUUAUGGUUCAAAAACUUGUAAAUCACUACCCAAAUCUUGUAAAUUUUGGGAUCCUCUUACAAUGUUAUGGUACUCUCGUAUCCAAACUAUUGUAAUACCAGUCCUUAGUCUUGUAAACCAUCGUAUUCCUUGUAAUGUUGAUUUUUGUCCUUAUAAAAUGGGGAUUUACAUGGGAAGCUAGGAGAUUGGUAACUUUCUUCUACUUCAUUACCCCAUUUAGUAUUUUAUUAUAUUACAAUACAUAUAUAAAAAAAUUAGUAUUUUAGUUGAAAUUAUACAUAUUAUAUGUAAAUACUAUAUAUAUAUUUAUGAGUGGAUAUUCUUAUUAAACAAUUUUGUUAUGGAUGGGAAAGGGGAAACCCAUAUAACAAGGAUAUGAACCAAAAAUCAGAGGAGGAUCAUAAGAGAGAGUUUUGUGGGAACAUGAAUAUGAGGAUGACAAUGUAUUAAAUUAUUUGUUUAGGCAUAGAAAUAAGUUUGUAAAAGCAUAUUUUGAAUAUGCUAUGAGUCAUAUUCAAGAAAUAAUAUAUAGUGUUAGUUUUAAGACAUUUCUCUCAAAUUAUUUUAGAAUAGCUUGAAUUCUAAAAUUUCGUACAUGAGAAGCGAAUGAGAUGGUAAUUCAAUUACUUUCUCCCCCUUCAUUACCUCAUUUAGUAUUUGUUUAUGUUACAUACUUAUAUAAAAUUUUGAGUAUUUUAGUUGAAAUUGUAUAUAUUAUAUGUAAAUAUCAUAUUUAUGUAUUAUAUAUUGAUUAUAAAGUUUAUUUAAGUAUUAUAUUAUUAUAUAUUCUUAUUUAACAUUUUUUUUUACUAAUCGGAACAUGAACCAAUUAUAUUACGAAGAUAUGAACCAAAAACAUAGAAGGAUCAUAAGGGAAAUUUUUAUUGGAAGAUGCUAUGAUUCAUCUUCUGUUAUAAGAUAUUUGUUUAAAGUUAUUUUUAGAAUAAGCACUAAUACAUAUAUAUUUUUGUAUAAUAAUAUAUCAUCUUCAGAAGUAAUUAUAGUGUGGCUUCAGAGUAUGGUCAUAUAAUAUUUAUUAUAAUAUAAGUGGAUAUUUAUUGAUGUUAUGCCUUAAAAGUUGAAUAUCUUAUCAUUGAUUGAUAUUAAACUCGUAAACGAGUUAUACUAUGUAGUCGUAUUUUAGUUCCUUAUAGUAAUUUAUUCACAUCUAAAAAAUGACAAAAAAAUUAAAAAAUUUUAAAAAAAAUGAAAAGAAUAGUUUAGAUGUUUAAAAAUUAUUUCAGUUUGGCCAAUUGGAUUUAUAUAAAGUUACCCAAGUUGUAUUGAUUUUGGUUACAAGUUAUAUAAAGCAACCCCUAACUCAUGACAAAAAUCUGCAAAUGUUGUGAAAUAAUUGAAAUAAUUAUAACAACAUUAUGGUCCACCCUAAUCCAUAACACUGUAAUACCCUAAUUUACGAAGAAAAUGACACAUAGUACCAAAGUAGGAAUGGCCUUUGGAGGAGUAAAAUUAGGUCAUUAUCCUUGUAAACACAGCUAAAAAUUUUGUAAUCAACGAGAAAACUUGUAAACUUUCUACUUUUAUACUUGUUUUUCUUGAAUUUUAAUCUUAACAAUGUAGUAUAAAAUCCAUGGCCAUGUUAGGAAAAAAAUAUAAAUGUAUAAUACGUCGUGGAUGUCUACAAAAGUACAACUAUUGUAACAUAGAGUUCAACAAUUAAUAUAGUUCUUAUUUUAGAAAUUGAUUUCAACCAAUUACAUAGACAAAACUCGAGGUGAAAAAAUUUGAUGGAUAAAGACUUUCAAGCUUUUCACCAAUUUUAUGAAACAAAAGAAACAAAAAAAUUAGAACUAUCAACCUCAAUUGAUUUUUAAAAACUAGGCAUAAAAUACAGAGGAAUUAACCACAACUAGCUAUCAUAAUUCAUAUAAAUAAAACCAGCAACUCAUAAUGAACUUGAGUAGAGCUUUGAUGAGGUGACAUAUUGAAAUAAGAAAAAAAAAAGUCUAAAACGGUUCUCAUAAAAAAGAGUCUAAAAUGGUAACAACUCAAUUGAAAAAUAACAUGUCAAAUCAUAUGCCAAUUGCCAAACAGAAAGGGAAUAAUUGCAUGACCCUUAUGCAAUUGCAUUUGUGUUAAAUAUUAACAAAAAAUGGAAACUUGAUGUUUGGGGGUGGUCAAAAUUCACUCAAUCUGCCAAUGAGGAAUUCUUAGUGGCCGAGAAUUCUUAGCUGCCGAGAAUUCCUAGUUGUCAAAGAAUUCCUAGCAGCCGAAAACUCCUAGAGGUUGAAGAAUUCCUAGCGUCCGACAAUUCCUAGCGGUCGAAGAAUUCCUAGCGGCCGAGAUGCCUUCUCAAAAAGGUGGCCGAUGUGUUUUCUUUAAAGUUCAUGGUGCCUUCUCAAAAAUGCGGCCGAGAUGUUUUCUUUAAAGGCCAUGGCACUUCUCAAAAAGGUGGGCCGGGCACUCCUUAAAUACCUUGGUCGGCCACUCCUCUUGCAAAAAGCUAGCCGGUCUGCAUUUGUAGUGGAGACUCAAAAAUGGCUAGGCGAAUCUGCUAGAGUUUCUCGACCAGGUGAAAUCCAAGGUGUGGCCAGUUGGGCCUUGAGGUUUUUAGCAGGCCAGAGCUCGGGAUUCUUGUGGCCGGACCUUGGGGGUUUCGUGGAAGCUGAAGGGCAAGGCCGGCCUGGAGCGAGAUGCGGCUGGGAGUCGUUCGAGAUAAGGCUGGGCAUAGUUCAAAGUGCGGCUAGCUGGGCUGUGCUCGAAAGUGGCUAGGGCUGCAACAUGCAGCUGGGCACGCCCAGAACUACUAGGAUAUCUCACGGCUAGGGUAUGUUGGAAGGUGCGAGUGGAAUGUUGAAGCUGAUGCCCAGUUUUUUCGUGACCAGAGGCGUCAGGGGCUACAAGGAUCUCUGCAGCUGGUGCCUUGGGCUUUUGGCAAUUAGAGAUUGAGGCCGGCCGGGUUUGGAGGCUCGAAGGGAAGAUUGGCAUCCUGGAUUUGGUCUUUUUGCAGCUAGGAUUUCUUCAGGCUGAAGUCUUUAAUAUAUAUAUAUAUACUAACUCUUCAACAGUCUGAGCCUCUAUUUAUACUACAUCACUUCUCUGAGUCAGAGUCAAUUGCUAGCAUAGAUACUGAAUCUAGUAAUAUUUCUAAAAUAGAAAAUGCGUUUAGAAAUAUUGAUUGAAAUUAAUCCACAAGUACAGAGAUUAACAAACAGAGUCAGCCCUACUAGCUUCACAAAAAAUUGGUAUCCUAAGCCUACGCCACCUGAUAUCCAGUUCGAAGAACGAAAUACUCAAAACCAGUUUUCUGUUUCUUAUGAUAAAUUAUACGAAUGGAAUAUUGAUGGUUUUUCUGAACAAGAAAUCCUUAAUAAACUUCAACAUAUGUCUAUGGUCGCCAAUAGUUACAUCACCAAUCACAGUUCAGACAAUCUGAAAUUGUCCCCCUAUUAGAAACAGGUUUCACAGGAACUCUUCGUUCUUGGUGGGACAAUAAUUUAACACACGAAUCUAAGCAACGAAUAAUUCAUUCGCUAAAACUUAAUGAAGAUGGUCUUCCUAUUUUUGAUGAACAAAUAGGUCAAGGCAUCGAAGAUGGAGUCAAUACCCUGCUUUACACAAUAGUCAAUCAUUUUAUUGGAACGCCUAGUAAUACUACUGCUAGAAUACAUGAUCAAUUGAGUAAUUUGAGAUGCCCCAAAUUAUCUGAUUUUAGAUGGUAUAAAGACAUAUUUAUUUCCAGAGUCAUGAUUAGAGACAACAGUAAUCAGCCUUUUUGGAAAGAAAAAUUUGUUAAUGGAUUGCCGAAUUUAUUUGCUCAUAAAAUGCGAUCAACCCUUAGUAAUGAACAAGGUCAUAUUGAUUGGGAUAGCUUAACUUAUGGAAACAUAAUCAGUACUAUCAAUCAAGUCGGAAUGCGGAUGUGUGUCGAUAUGAAAAUUGGUAAACAAAUCCAAUCUGAAAGAAAUUAUGCCAAAUAUGAGUUAGGUAAUUUCUGCGAACAGUAUGGUUUAAUGUCUAUCCCCCCGUCUCGAAAAAAUAAGCUUAGUUAUCAUAACCGACAGUUUAGCAAAAAGCGCCAUCAUUCACGUAGAAAACAGUCAUUCCAACACAAUAAUGAAGAUAAAGAAUUUUAUAGUAAAAGGAGAUUCUCCCCUAAGAAAAAUUGGAAAAAGAGUCAUAAUAAAGAUAAGAAUAGCAGCUUUAAGAAAAGAACCGACAAAAGAAAAGUGAAAUGUUAUAAAUGUCAAAAGUAUGGUCACUAUGCCAAUAUUGUAAAGUUAAAAACACAAUCAAACAAUUAUAAGUCACGGAUGAAGAAAAAGACAAAUUAAUUAAAGUCCUUGAGUUAGAAAAUACUGAGUCAAGUGAAAACGAAACCAUGGUUAGCCACACUGAGUUGUCUGAAAUAUAUUCUUCUGAGUCACAAUCCAGUUCACCCAGAAUCCAAUUUGGUUGUCAAGAUAAUUGCUGCAAAUCUAAGUCAAUCAAUGUCCUUACCAAACAGGAAGAACAAGAAGAAUUGUUAAUCGAUUUAAUAAGUAGAGUUGAAAAUCCCGAAUUAAAAUCUGAAUAUUUAAAGAAAUUAAGAAAAGUCAUUAAUCGCGAGGAACAAAAACAGUCCACCCAAAAGAUAAGUCUGAACACAACCUUAGAAAAAUUUAACAAAAAGAAAGAAGUCACCUUACAGGAUUUACAAUGAGAAGUAAAGACAAUUAAAAAAGAAAUCAUUGAGUUAAGACAAAUAAGCCAAAAAUUACAAAGUGAAAAUUAUGAAAUAAAACAAGAUCUCAUUAAUCUAUUAGAAAAGAAAAUCUCUGAGUCUAAAGCAGAGAGUCCCAUUAAUUCAGAUGAAGAAAACUCUAUCCAAGAUCAAGCUGUUAAUUUAAUUAAACAUCUAAAUUUUAGGAAAUGGUAUGCCAGAGUCACUAUAUUUGUCAAAAGCUUUAAGUUAAACAUAGUCGCCCUUUUUGAUUCAGGGGCUGACCUUAAUUGCAUCCAAGAAGGACUAAUCCCAACUAAGUAUUAUAAAAAGUCAAGAGAAUCUUUAAGUACUGCCUCGGGAAAAUCACUCCAAUUGAAUUAUGAAAUCCCUAAAGCCUAUGUCUGUCAAAACAAAAUCUGCUUUAAAACUUCUUUUGUCUUAAUUAAAAUAUCACUGAUGAAGUUAUAUUAGGUCUUCCAUUUAUCGCCCUUUUGUACCCUUUCCAGGUUGAACAUGAUGGUGUCAUUUCCACCUGUCUAGGAAAAAAAUAAAAUUUGAAUUUUUUAGUAAACCUGAGUUACAUAAUUUAAAAGAAUUCCAAAAAAAUGCGGUCACUAAAACAGUCAAGAUAAUUCAAAAUAAAGAUAAACAACUAAGAUUUCUUCAAGAAGAAGUUAAAGCUAAGAGGAUUGAGCAACAAUUAGGUCAUAAGCCUUUACAAUCGCAAAUUCAACAGUUUGAAGAAAAACUAAAACAAGAAGUCUGUUCUGAAUUGCCCAACGCGUUCUGGCAUAGGAAACAACAUGUUGUCAGCCUUCCCUGUGUCAAAUCCUUUAGUGAGAAAAAUAUUCCUACUAAAGCAAGACCUAUUCAAAUGAGCCAAGAACUAAUGGAAUUUUGUAAAAUUGAGAUUACCGAUUUGCUCAAAAAGGGAAUAAUUCGUAAGAGUAAGUCACCCUGGUCUUGUCCUGAUUUUUAUGUACAGAAAAAUGCUGAGUUAGAAUGCGGAGUCCCCAGACUAGUCAUUAAUUACAAGCCACUUAAUACUGUCUUAGAAUGGAUUAGAUACCCAAUUCCUAACAAAAGAGAUUUAAUUAAUCGAUUGGAAAAUUCAGUUAUCUUUUCUAAGUUUGAUAUGAAGAGUGGAUUUUGGCAAAUUCAAAUUUCUGAGUCUGAUAGAUAUAAAACUGCUUUUGUUACCCCAUUUGGUCAUUAUGAGUGGAAUGUUAUGCCAUUUGGUCUUAAGAAUGCUCCUAGUGAAUUCCAGAAUAUAAUGAAUGAGAUCUUUAAUCCUUUCAGUCAUUUUUCCAUAGUUUAUAUUGAUGAUGUGCUUAUAUUCUCUGAAUCCAUAGAACAACACUAGAAACAUCUGCAUAAGUUUUUACAAAUAGUUAAACAAAAUGGCUUAGUUGUCUCUGCUAAGAAAAUUAAGUUAUUCCAAACUAAUGUGAGAUUUCUUAGGUUUAACAUCUACCAGUCACAGAUUAGUCCCAUAGAUCGAGUUAUCUAGAUUGCUGAUAAGUUUCCUGACCAAAUCCUAGACAAGAGUCAACUCCAGAGAUUUCUAGGAUCUCUAAAUUCUGUUUCUAACUUUUAUCAAAAUCUGAGAAAACAAUGUAAGCCUUUAUUUGAUCGUCUCCAAAAUAAUCCUCCCCCAUGGUCGUCUGCUCAUACUAAAUAUUGUUGUAUGUAAUCUAAAUCGUUUAAACUACGCUGGAUAGGAACUGGAGGGAUCUCAGUGUUUAAGGUCCAACCGGAUGGGAGCGUAACUUCUGACCAUUUGAUAGAGUGAGGAACUCUAAGAGUAGCAUCAGGUGUAUGACUCUGGAUUAACAGUGUUUGACUCUUCAGGCUCUUGUUUAAGGCUUGGAAAUUCAUAUUUGUACCGGUGACUUUGUAAUAAAUUCUAUAGACUAAAGCUAGGAGUUGGCUUCCUGGCAAAACAUCACACAUACUCAAAAUAGCUUGCCAACGUGCAAAUAUUUGUUUGGAUGCAAUAUUUUGAACAUCUUUUUCUAAUACAUGCUUAGCAGACUUACAAUCAACUCUGACUAAAAAAAUUUGAUUUAAUAAAUUAGAUUGAAAUUUAUUAAUGCAUAGUACGAUAGAUAAUAUUUCUUCCUUAAUAGUACUAUAAUUAUUUUGAGAUUGGGACCAAGUGCCAGAAUGGAAUAGAAUGAUUUGCUCGGAUUGACUAGAAGUGACUCUUUGUUUGAGGAUACCUCCAUAACCUACAUUAGAAGCAUCAGUUUCAACAAUCUUAAAUGAAUUAGCAGAAGGAAUACCAAGACAGGGAAGAGUCUUAAUAUGAGCUUUGAUCUGUUUGAAAAUUUCAGUAUGAGCAGACGACCAUGGGGGAGGAUUAUUUUGGAGACGAUCAAAUAAAAGCUUACAUUGUUUUCUCAGAUUUUGAUAAAAGUCAGAAACAUAAUUUAGAGAUCCUAGAAAUCUCUAGAGUUGACUCUUGUCUAGGAUUUGGUCAGGAAACUUAUCAGCAAACUGGAUAACUCGAUCUAUGGGACUAAUCUGUGACUGGCAGAUGUUAAACCCAAGAAAUCUCACAUUAGUUUGGAAUAAUUUAAUUUUCUUAGCGGAGACAACUAAAUUUCGACAGCAAAUUCAAGAGUCCUUUUCCUUUCUGGUUCAAUCACUGGUGGGAAAAACAUGAUCCAAUUAUUGAUUUGUUUCCUCCUCCUAUGCAAGAUUUAGUCAAUUAUUUUACUAAUAAAAAUAAGUUCAAAAAAUCUGAGUUGUUUUUCCUCAAUCUUCUCCAUUUUGUUGCCAAGUAUAAAGUCCCUUGGAUCCUCAAAUGGUCUUAUCAGGUUAAUUGGGAAACCAGAGUCCUAUCUCACCAAUUUUCAAUCAAAUGGUGGGAUAAAUUUAAACUUGAGCGUAUUGCAGAUAUGUUUAUGCUGAUUUUCUUACGAAUUAUUCCCUUUUUGAGCAAAUCGGUAAUCUCAAUUUUACAAAAUUCCAUUAGUUCUUGGCUCAUUUGAAUAGGUCUUGCUUUAGUAGGAAUAUUUCUCACUAAAGGAUUUGACAUAGGGAAGGCUGACAACAUGUUGUUUCCUAUGCCAGAACGCGUUGGGAAAUUCAGAACAGACUUCUUGUUUUAGUUUUUCUUCAAACUGUUGAAUUUGCGAUUGUAAAGGCUUAUGACUUAAUUGUUCCUCAAUCCUCUUAGCUUUAACUUCUUCUUGAAGAAAUCUUAGUUGUUUAUCUUUAUUUCGAAUUAUCUUGACUGGUUUAGUGACCGCAUUUUUUUGGAAUUUUUUUAAAUUAUGUAACUUAGGUUUACUCAAAAAUUCAAAUUUUAUUUUUUCUCCUAGGCAAGUGGAAAUGACACUAUCAUGUUCAACCUGGAAAGGGUACAAAAGGGCGAUAAAUGGAAGACCUAAUAUAACUUCAUCAGUGAUAUUUUUAAUUAAGACAAAAGAAGUUUUAAAGCAGAUUUUGUUUUGACAGACAUGGGCUUUAGGGAUUUCAUAAUUCAAUUGGAGUGAUUUUCCCGAGGCAGUACUUAAAGAUUCUCUUGACUUUUUAUAAUACUUAAAUGUGACCAGGGCGACUUACUCUUACAAAUUAUUCCCUUUUUGAGCAAAUCGGUAAUCUUGAGAAAUGAACGCACAAACCGGCCAGUCAUCCGCUUUCAACAAUUCACAGUACUCAGGAACCUGAGGAUCAGUGGCUGCAAAGAGAGCACUCCUGGAACCUUCUUGAGCACUAAAGAUAAAAUUGGGUAUUAGAUGAUAAGCAGCUUGAACAAUUUUGGGAAGAUCCCUUGCAACAUUAGUCUGCACAAUUCCAGGUGAAACACAUGCUACAGUAAUGCCAGAUUCGGCAGGGAGCUGCUAAUGUAGAACACUACUAAACAUAAUCUGUGCCAGCUUGCUGCUUGAGUAACCCACUAAGCUUGUAUAUUUUCUUUUCCCAGAAACGACGUUCAUGUCUUCUGUGUCAACAAAGCCAACAUAAUGCAUAAACUGGAGGGAUCUCAGUGUUUAAGGUCCAUCGGAUGUAAUUUGGUUGAAGACCAACAAUUGCAAUGAUCUAUCUCCAUCACGAUGAAAUUUUAAAGAUUACCCGAGUAUCAAAAUAUAUAUAUAUAUAUAUUAAAUAAAUGUUGAUGCUCAAAAUGGUCCGGCCAAUAUUGAGUCCAACUUAGUGAUUAGGUAUGCGGGCUCUUCAGCAGGGAAGAGAGCUGAGGCCCUUGGCGAAAUAUAGGUUGAUGGGAAACCUGCAGAAGACAAAGUGGGAGAAGCAAUCGUUAAGCUUCGGACACCGGUGUGGUGCCGGCCGAAGGCUCUCCGAUGCCUAAGUCAGUUACAAGUAGUAAUUCUGGCAGAGUAACAGUAAAAGUGGGAGAAUAGUUACCCUUUUUACCUGGGUAAUGUUCCCUAUUUAUAGGGAAGUGAAAGUAGGAGCUUUGCACAAAGUUCCAAUGUGGGACUUUGUGCAAGCCGUUGUGGUGGCGACACGUGUCCUGGAGAUUAGGUUUGGCAUCUGGGAGCUUCGGUAGGUGUCUGGCACCUCGGAAGUGUGUCUUCCUUCGGCACAGGAGAAGGCGUGGCUGCCUUGGUGCUAGUCACUUUGGUGCUGGGUCUGCUCGGUUCAUUAUGGUGUAAACAGUAGUCCCCCAAGUUCGCGGUCGAGAAGUAACUUCUGGGUUGGGAACUUGUGAGUUUUGUAAUUGUAACCGAGCAUUCCAGCUUCGUUGGGAGUCGUAGGGCACUCCCUAGUCCCCCAAGUUGGCAAGCUAGGAGUUGCGUCAACACAUGGUAGCUGGGUACCUGGGUACUUGGGCAUGUUGCAGAUAAGAUGGGAGCUGGGUCAGUAGGGGAGCCAGACCUUCGAAGGAGCCAGGUCUUGUGGAAAAUUUCGGAGACUCCAAUUCUUCCAUGGCCGGGCCAUUUGAAAAUUUUGGACUCUCCAUAGUUCCUCCAUGGCCCUUGCCGUUCGGCAAGGGUCUAGCUCCCUUUUUUUUUUUUUUUUUUUUUGGUUGUUGAAAGGUCGGGCCAUGUGGAGAGAGCUUGAAGGCUUUCUUGGGUUGGGCCUUCGGCAAGUAAGAAGGGCUUGUGGUGGGCUUCGGCAGGUAGGGGGGCUAGGGUUUGGCAUUGAGAGGAGAAAAAACCUCAUAGGAGUUGCUAAAAGGUGCCGUUCGGCAGGUUGGAGAUUAUUAAAGUUUUGGGUGGAUUGUUGCCGUUCGGCAAUUUGGAGGUGGUUGAAAUUUUGAGCAAGGGUGAGGUCAAGCCUUGGAGUAGAAAGAUCUUGGAGGUUGCUAGGCACACGGGUGUGGCAAAUCUUGGAGGUUGCUAGGCACACGGGUGUGGCUAGACGUUUCGGCAGGUCCUGGUUUCGGCAAGGCACGAGGUUAGAGCCGUCUGCAAGGCAGCAGCACCGAUUUGAUUUUGAAGACCCUUGCCGUUCGGCAGCCCUUUGUCCAUUGCUAGCGUUGUUGGUCAAAGCUUCGGCAAAGCAUCGGGGUUGUCCUUCGGCAGGUUCUGUCCGAGGAGGUGCUGGCUGCGCGGCAGCUGGGUUGUCGUGGUGUCCAGCAAAGGAAGAGCUGCCCACCGUUCUUGCCGUUCGGCAAGAGACUUGGCGACGGCUGGGGUGUCCUGCGGCAGGCGGCUUUAGCAAGAAGAGCUGGGCGAUGCAGCUGUCUCGGCAAGACAGGAGCUGUGCUUCGGCAGGUCCUGGUGCUGUUCGAGGGGGCUGUCGAGGGGCGGUGUUGCUGGGCAGAUUCAGCAGGCCGUGGCUGGGGUUAUUUCGGCAGGCGCCGUAGCUGGAGCACGGGAUUAGGGCCUUCGGCAGGCGCUGCGCAGGUUCGUUGAGCUACUUGCUGAAACCUUCCGAUCGGCAAGGGUGGUGUUGGCUGUUUUGUGAGCACUACUUCGGGCAAGGAGCUUGGCGACGUCGGGCAUUUGUGAGCACGGCUUCGGGCGAAAGGGCUUGGCAGUUUUUGGAGCUGGACGAGUGGGCUUCACGGGCUGGGUGCUGAGAGUGGUUUGGGCCGAAUAUAGCUGGGGUUUUGCGCUGUCACAUAGCCUCUCGAGCUAGACCGUCCACGCGGCAGGUGAGUCCCAUUUUUGUUGCGUCCCGGGCUUUGCCGUUCGGCAAGCCACCCAUGAUAUGUGUUGUGAAAUGGAUUUGGGUGCCUUGAUCAAAUUUGGGCUUAGCCUUGUAAUAGGAUUGGGCUUGUGAAGUAGGCUAGCACACUUGAAAUUUUGGGGACUCCAUUUUGUUUUUGCACGGGCCUUGCCGUUCGGCAAGACCCCUAAAAUUUCCCAUAUUUUUUGUUUUUUUUUUGUUGUUUUUGUAUGAAAAUUGAAUUUCAAAUUGUGUGUAGGUACAAGGGAUUUAUGAGGGAAUAUGAAAGGGUGCUAGGGUUUGCUCGUGAAACGAGGCGUGGGUACCCUUAGUUGGCUACAAAUAGGAACUUGGAGUGGUGAAGGCACCACACUUGAGUUGAGUUGAGAAAAAUUGUGAGAAUUUGAAGGAGAGGAGAGGCGAUUUUCGGCGAUUAGUUUGUGGUGGUGCUUGUGGCUGAGGUGAUUUCCGGCGAUCCAUUCGUGGUGCUACGAAUAAGGUUAGACCUUAUUUCGCUAGAACCUUUGAAUUGAAAUGUAUUGUUUUGCAUGAACAUGUUGAAGGCUAGGAAGAACACAGUGAACAUGAGCAUGAAUAUGAUGAACAUGUUGAACAUUUGUAUGAACAUGUUGAAUUCUUGCCUGGAUACCAAAGAACAUGUAGAUUUGCCAAA
rnacentral:lncRNA from 1 species